AGCGAACGCUGGCGGCAGGCUUAACACAUGCAAGUCGAGCGGGCAUCUUCGGAUGUCAGCGGCAGACGGGUGAGUAACACGUGGGAACGUACCCUUCGGUUCGGAACAACUCUGGGAAACUGGAGCUAAUACCGGAUACGCCCUUAUGGGGAAAGGUUUACUGCCGAAGGAUCGGCCCGCGUCUGAUUAGCUAGUUGGUGGGGUAACGGCCUACCAAGGCGACGAUCAGUAGCUGGUCUGAGAGGAUGAUCAGCCACACUGGGACUGAGACACGGCCCAAACUCCUACGGGAGGCAGCAGUGGGGAAUAUUGGACAAUGGGCGCAAGCCUGAUCCAGCCAUGCCGCGUGAGUGAUGAAGGCCUUAGGGUUGUAAAGCUCUUUUGUCCGGGACGAUAAUGACGGUACCGGAAGAAUAAGCCCCGGCUAACUUCGUG
rnacentral:rRNA from 1 species